UUGACCCAGUGGACUUUGUGUCAGAUUACUAUUCUGUGGAAAGAUAUCUUUCUGGCUAUCAAUUUGGGAUCAAACCUAUUGUUGGCACGAAAAUGUGGCCCGAAGUUGCGGAUGAUGUUGUGAAACCACCACCCAAGAUCAAGAUGCCUGGACGACCAAAGAAAAAGAGAGUUAGAGCACCCCAGGAAAAAGAUGGGAGAAUGUCCAAGCAUGGAGUAGUGAUUUCAUGCAGCAAAUGCAAGCAACAAGGCCAUAACAUGAGAAAAUGCCUAAAUGCAGCAGUUGAAAAACCCAAGGGUGAGAAGCGGAGGAGAGGAAGACCCUCAAAGGGGAAUCAACUGGAAAAGGAAGCAACUCAAAGGGGGAAUCAACUGGAAAAUGAAGCAAAGACAAGCAACACUCGAAACAUGAAGCAAGUUCUGCAAGUCAAUCCAAAAAAGAAGGCGGUUCUGGGAAUCAAGCGAAGUCAACAAAUAAGGGCAGGUCUACGCAGUUCAAGGGUAGAGGAGCAGCUUUGAAAGGCAUUGGGGUUUACAUCAACGAGAGCACUGGGAAUACAUUCUACCAUGGUUCUAGCAAGUCAAAGAAAGUGAUACAAAUCACAAAAUUUAAGAAACCAAGAACGGGAAAGAGUAGUACAAGCAAGGCAAUUGAGAAAAGUGUUGUCACUGAAGUUGCAACAACCCAGGAAAGUAGGAAUGAAGGGGGAUCAGGCCAGCCGCAAUGAAAAAAAGAAACUUCUGAAGUAGUUAUUUUGUCUGUCCAUUUGUAGAACAACUUUAUUGUUGAAAAUUUCAUGUUUUGUUUAUUUUGUGACAUCAAAGAACCUGUUUUUGUAUCAUGAAGAAUUCUGUACGGUGACUUGUGGUG